rnacentral:rRNA from 1 species
GACGAACGCUGGCGGCGUGCUUAACACAUGCAAGUCGAACGGAAAGGCCCUGCUUUUGUGGGGUGCUCGAGUGGCGAACGGGUGAGUAACACGUGAGUAACCUGCCCUUGACUUUGGGAUAACUUCAGGAAACUGGGGCUAAUACCGGAUAGGAGCUCCUGCUGCAUGGUGGGGGUUGGAAAGUUUCGGCGGUUGGGGAUGGACUCGCGGCUUAUCAGCUUGUUGGUGGGGUAGUGGCUUACCAAGGCUUUGACGGGUAGCCGGCCUGAGAGGGUGACCGGCCACAUUGGGACUGAGAUACGGACCAGACUCCUACGGGAGGCAGCAGUGGGGAAGAUUGCACAAUGGGCGGAAGCCUGAUGCAGCAACGCCGCGUGCGGGAUGACGGCCUUCGGGUUGUAAACCGCUUUCGCCUGUGACGAAGCGUGAGUGACGGUAAUGGGUAAAGAAGCACCGGCUAACUACGUG